rnacentral:rRNA from 1 species
CGGUGACAGGUGGUGCAUGGUUGUCGUCAGCUCGUGUCGUGAGAUGUGGUUAAGUCCCGCAACGAGCGCAGCCCCUAUUGUUAGUUGCCAUCAUUCAGUUGGGCACUCUAGCGAGACUGCCGGUAAUAAACCGGAGGAAGGUGGGGAUGACGUCAAAUCAUCAUGCCCCUUAUGACCUGGGCUACACACGUGCUACAAUGGUUGGUACAACGAGUUGCGAGUCGGUGACGGCGAGCUAAUCUCUUAAAGCCAAUCUCAGUUCGGAUUGUAGGCUGCAACUCGCCUACAUGAAGUCGGAAUCGCUAGUAAUCGCGGAUCAGCACGCCGCGGUGAAUACGUUCCCGGGCCUU